GACGGGAUAAUAGUAAUAAUAGAAGAGUAAUCUUUCAUAAAGAAUAGUCAUAAGAAGAAAUAUGACAGAACGGAGAAUCCAGAAGCGGCACCUGUCACGUUAUUAGAGAGGUGGGGUAAAGGAGAGAAAGUGGCUUCCUCCGAUAAGACGACAGACGUGGAUGUCCCGACAGAGAUAAGAAAGGGGCCGGAUGUCACCCGGUCUGUGUAAAACACGUGUCCCUCCGACCAAUAAAUAAGUCCAUUGUCUGACUAGUUGCUGCCCUACACCCAACUGAUAACGCUAUCGGCGCGUGGCAGACAUCCGGUCACGUGAUCUGGCCGGUCCGAUGUGGAUUUUUGAUCUACCGGACCGGGUCCGAGACAGAUGCGCGAGAGGAGGAGGAGGAGGAGAAAGACGGUGAAAGGGGAAGCGGAGAAAGUUUACGUCGUCGCCUCUGGUCGACGUCAGAAUUUAAUCCCCUUUCCCGGACGGGUGAGGAUUAGCCGGAAGGGAAGGGAGUGGCGUGCGGAGAUAUGCUGCUUGGCAGGUAAAGGGAUUUGGGACCAGACUCUCUAUCGGGCCGUCGGCACCCGUGGACCCGACCUAACUCUCUUAUAAACAGUUUAGGCCCUCUUACCACUCGAUAUAUUUCGAUGCGUUUACAUCUGUAACGAUAGUUUAUUAACAAUAAUCGCCAUUAUUUGGCUGCCAUUACUAAAUAAGUCACGCCCCAGCACCGGCCACCAGAAAACUGGUAACUCCACUUCUCUGCAAAUACAGUAAAACCUCGAUUUUACGGACACCAUCCCAAAAAAUAAUAUUAAUACAAUAUUUGCAUAAACCGUC
rnacentral:lncRNA from 1 species